GGCUCACAAUAGUUUAUGUUAGAUCCUACAUUACUUUGUUGAGUUAAUAUAUUCAUGAUGCUUAAAAUAAGAUGUGGUGUAGGAUGGAAUUAGGUUUCUAAAGGGGUCAUUUACAUGGCCAAUGGCUAGUGAUUACCUACUUAAUUGAGGCUCUACGCAAAGGAAAGGCAUUGGUUUGAUCAUUCAUGGCAUCCACUCGACUUUCGAGGUAGAUAGGGAGACGGUGCGGAUUCGUAGGAGCUUAUCAGCAGAUUCACAGGAGCACUCCAUUAUUCCGGAGGUGCCACUUAUAAUCAUAUUCUUUUGCGUAUAUAUUUUGGGCACGACGGGGUCCUGUCCCGUCCUUAUGUCUAGUACUCUAGUAGAGGCUCGUAGAUACAUACGUGUGGGUUGUUAGUGUCCCAUGACGAUGUCAGUGUACAUUUUUGGUAACCGUACAGGCUUAUGUUUAUCUAUGUAUAGCCUCGGGGUAUUCAUAUAUGUAUGUGUUCAGGUUGAGUAUGAUGACUAGUAAUAUGAGCGGUGCUCGGUAGUUAGCUCCGGGUACUCAUCAUGGCCUCUAGUCGGGUUGUGACAUGAGUGUGGUGAGACAGGGCAUUAUGCGAGGGAGUAUCCUAGAUCCAGGUAGGGUUCCAGAGUUCAGACAUCUAGGCCUCUAGCACCACUAGCUAAAGGAGGAGGAUAUUCUGGUAGAGGAGGUUCACAGUCUGGCAGAGGUGGCUAUCAGCCUAGCAGGGGGUUAAAAUUUGUCCGGUAGGGGUGGUUCUCAGGUCUCCAGGGUAAGAGCGCAGUCUGGACAGAAUGACCGUGGAGGUGCUCGUUGCUAUGUUUUUCCCGAUAGGCUUGAGGCCGAGGCAUCCGAUGCGGUGAUCUCAAAUUUCGAUAUUUCAGAGGCCCUACACAAAGGAAAGGCAUUGGUUUGAUCGUUCGUGGCACCUGCUCGGUCUUCGAGGUAGGUUAUGGCUUACUUUAGUUAGAUUCUGAUUAGAGAAUCUUAUGUAAUUGUGAAAAGUGACGGGGAUAUCAUGAUGGGACUUCGAGCAUGAAGUGGAGGUGAAUACAAAUUAGGUUGGUUCCGUUAGCUAUUAUGUAGGCUUGUCAACUUAUUGUUAAUUUCUGUGAUUAUCACCUACUUGUAUCUCUGUCAUAUACUAGCUCACUCAUCGUAUGAAAGGAAAGUGUAAUAUUUAUAAUUGAA